rnacentral:piRNA from 1 species
UGUGAAAUGUGAAUGUUGGCCUUGAAGGAAC